UCAUCACCUGCAUGGACCCUGCAAGCAGGAGCCAAGGCUAUUAAUGUGCAGUGCAUUCCUUUUUUUAUUUUUUGGAAAGCAACCACUAUGUAAACCCAGGGAAGAUUAUACUUUGUUUUGUUUGGAACUUUCCCAAGAACUGUUCACUUUUACUGAAAUCCGGUCAUGCCAGCCUGCUGGGCUCACCACCUCCCUGCACACUCCUCGGCCAAGUGCUCUGCUCCUUUGUCCACAUGGUCCUACUUUGGAAUCCACUUUCCCCUCCCUCCCCAGAUUCGACCCACCAGCCAAGGCACACCUCUUCUAGUGCUCACUCAGGCUUUUGAUUCCCUUGAGCCCUUAUUAUGCAUGCAGCCUGUGUUAUUGGGACUUAAUUAUACACCACCAGGUAGUGUGGCUUCAUUCAUGCCUUUUCUUGCUUCUCAAUGAAGCUGUAGCAGCGAAAGGCACUUAGGAAGGAAAGGAAACUUACCGUGUUCUAGAAGCCGUACUGUGCACAGGUGUUUUCAUGGUCACUGCCCUGCUGAGGGCCCCAUGAGGGCAAAGGCUAUGUGCCUUGCUCAGUGCUCAAUCCUCAAUGCCCCCAUGGUGUGUGGUACACAGCAGGCACUCAAUAAAUGUUUGCAGAGUAGAUGAGUAAUACUACGGCUGGUAUCUGAAUAUUUAGUAGGUUUAGGGAAAUAGUCAAUGGAAGUCAUUUUCUUCUUCCUUUUUGUGGCCACCUUCAGGAGCUUUCCUUUUCCUUAAAGUUCUCAGGGUCUGUUGUGGCUUGAGGGGUACAAACACUUCCCCUCCCCAACAUGUCCACAUCAUAACCCUCAGAACCUGGGAACGUGAUCUUACUUGGAAAAGGGGUCUUUGCAGAUAUAGUUAAGGAUCUAGGGGUGAUCUUGUUCUGGAUUACCUGGGUGGGCCCUAAAUCCAGUGACAGGUGUUUUGUAAGAGAGAACGGAGAAGACACACAGACACGGAGGGGAUGGUCACAUGAGGACCGUGAUGGGGUCUACCAGGCAUCUGAAGUUUCUGCGGGAUAGCUGCCGAUCCCAGUCACCAACAGCCCCUCAGAGACUCAAGGACAACGAAUCAGACCCACCUCAGCCCUCUGUUCCUACCGGGAAGAAUGAAAAGGAGAUUUAUAUGGCUCUUUUUAUCCCAUCUUUCUGCCAAAUAGGGAUGGAAAUAGAGUUAAGAGUUUCCCUGAGGCAAACAUAGAUCAUAUCUCCUCACUGUUUAAAAUCACUGGAUAGCUUCCCAUGGCACUCGGAAGAAAAACUGAAUUCCUUUCCAUGGCCCAAGACUCUUCUAGACUUGCCCCUGCUGCCAACCCACCUCCUGUGUUCCUUUGGGCUCAUCUCUCCCCUCCCCUUUGCUCACCUGGCUACACUGGCCUCCUGACGGUUUCUCAAAUGCUCCAAUCUCAUCCUUGCCCCAGGGCCUUUGCACUUGCUGUUGCUUCUGUGUGGGGCUCUUCUUGAGACUUGGCCUUGCUGGCUUGUUCUGUUAUUCAGAACUCAGCCCGAGGUCACCUCCUCAGUGAAGCCCGGCUGGCCUCCCCAUCUGAAGGAGCCCCCACUGUUUACUCCCUAUGUCACCAGCCGUAUAUUUCUUCUUGACAUUUAUCACCUUCUGAAAUGGUUUCCUUUAUUGGGUCAUUUGUUUGUGGUCUACUUUCCCUGGACUGAGGGUUCUGGGUGACUCAGGGCGCUCUCCACUCCCCCCGCCAAUCCCCCCCAGGGGAAUAUAUAAUUGGUGCUCUAUAAAAACUCACUGGGAGACGGAAGGACACACAGCAAAGCCUGCCCUUUCCAGCCCAGCACUUGACGUGGUUUUAAAAGGGACACCCUCCCAGAACCAGGUGUGCUCCCUGAGCCUCUGGGCCAAGGCUCCCAGCGGUGGGUGAAAGAAAGCAAGGCUGCAAGCAGAGAACUGGCUCUUGGGUUACGAACUGAACAGGAGUCAUCAGGCCUCGGGACUGUGUGAGCGUCUCUUCUCAAGGUCACACACCCUCCCAAGAAGCCCCAGGGGACACAGCUGUAACUGGAGGCAAUUACAGGGUUUCUACCAGGUGUGACACUUCCCUCUGGAGGGGAUGGAUGAGGGGGGCUUUCCGAGGCCUGCCUGACCAUCUGGUGCUCACACGUUGGAGCCUGCAGAGGGAGCAGGCCACCGCCUCAGGGUCAGGCAGAACCAUGGGAUGCCCCCCUCCCAGGCCUUGUGCCCUGCCUGGGGAAGGGGCAGGAAUCCAGACAGGCCUUCUGCUUGCCCAUCCGUUCUCUCUACAUGGAAUUUUUACUGCCAAUUGAGAUAGCAAGGGCAUGCCCCUUGGCCCCCAGCUUGCACACUGGCUACAUUCCGACCUCAUGGCCUUUGCCUGAGCUGUGCCCUCUGCCUGCAGGGCUCCCUCCAGCCUCCCUCAGGUGAUGGAGCAAACAUCAAAUAUCUGAGGGGACUUCCCGAGCCCGGAAUGGAUGCCGCUGCCCUUGCUUCUGGCACCCACCGUGGCCCCUCCCCUUGCACUUUUCCCCACAUCACCUCUUGCCCUCGGACCCCACUUUUAGCUCCCCUGUUUGCACACUGCCCGUUGCCCCUCCUGGUCCAGCCACAUGGCAGUAGGGAUCUGGGCUGGCUCUAUUUACCGUUAUGUUCCCAAACCUAGCACAGUGCCUGGCACACAGCAGGUGCUCAGUAAAUAUCUGCUAAAUUCAGAAACAUAGGACCUUCUUCUUUAGCUUCUAUGGACCUUGAGAGCCCCAGCUGGUUUGUAUUCAUAGACAUGUGCCUUUUGUGCGGUGGAUCUGAAAAAAAUAUGACUUGAAAUAGCAUCCGACAGAUCCCGUGUUCUCCAGUUUGCCACACUCCCCACCAUGCCCUGCAGUCUACACCCAUUCCACCCAUUCGUAUUACCAGCCAGGUCCCUGAAGGCCUCGGAGCUUGGCAACCUCCUAAUAUAAUUUAGUUGAUGAGACAGGUCCAAACUUUUCCUGGGGCAGAGGGCAGUGUUCUACGCCAAUAAUAAUCAUCAUAAUUAUUGAGAGCAGUGAGUCUGGCUGGCUGCAUGCUUGUGGUAUGCACCACGCUGGGCAUGUGUCAAGCAUCAUUUUACUUAAUCCCCCAACAGCCCUUUUGAGGACAGGGAGUUAAGUGACCGGUCAGAGCUACAGAGCUUGGGAAGUGGGAUAUGCAGACUCAAACCCAAGCCUGACUGACAGGAACAGCAGGUGCUGGGUAUCAUGUUGCAGAAAUGUACGGUCUCAGAAAUGUUCCAGAAACGUAUGGUUCACACCACACUCGAGGUAGUGAUAAUUCACCCAGGGAAUGCACAAUGCUCCCUAUGCACUUGGUCAAUCCUUGGUUUCAGGGAGGCUCAGAAGGGUCCUGGGCUAGAUGUUGGGUCCCCUCGUCAUCCCAGAGGUGGCUUUAGCUGGCACGCCAGCUGUGGGAGCAGCAUAGAACCACCUCGCCAAAUAUUGGGGAUGCCAGUGGUGGGAAAGCGACUCCCUUUACUACCGAUGAGCUCCAGGAGAAAAUGUCAGCUGGUGCCAUCGUGUCCUUCUACCCACACAACUACUGUUUCCACCGGGAGGGAGCCAGACACCUGCUCAGAGCUCUCAGCCGGCAAUAUCAUUGGCUUAUGCCGAGUCACAUGGUUUAGUGUCCUCUACUUAGGGCAAGUGAUUCUGCCUUCUCUCAGUUAGGGUAGUGGACUCUUGUUCUUUAAAACAGAACAAUCAAGGCUGAUUAAAAGAGGUCAAUCCUAGUACAAGCAGCACAUAGGUGAGAAAAUUCUGGGAAGGGGAGGGCCUGGCUGGCGUGUGGCACACACGAGCUUCGUAGAACCUAGCGCGGCCCCCGCGGUGAGGUUAUGGGACCGUGUUGCGGACACCUUCAGAGCCACACACCCUCAACUGAGCUCCUGCGGUCACCGGCCCCCUCCUGCCUCCUCGGCUUCCCUCCAGUGACUUAGAUAAUAAUCUUGCUACGCCUUGCUUCCACCUCUCCGGUCCCACAUCCAAAUGAGCAGCAAGGCCUGUUGCUCCUCCUCCAAAGUAUAUCCAUCCUGCAGUCUGGUUGCCUCUUCCCGGGGCACCUGGUUAUCCUCUCUCCUCCGAGCUAGGUCAACUGCUUUGCUUCCUGACCGGACGGACCCUGACCAUUUCUUCUGCAAGGAGCAGGCAGAGUGCCUUCUCUCCUAAGCAGCCUCUGUGGCUCCCACUCAGCAGAGAACAGAGUCCCUGGGGUCACCCACAGGCCCUGCUGGAUCCAGACCCCUUCCCUGCCCACUCCCUGCAGCCACAGGGCCCUUGUCUCUGCCCUUGGACUUGCCAGGCCUGCUUCCACCUCCAAGCCUUUGCCUCUCUGUUCCUUUUGCUUGGAAUGCCCUUCCUGCAGCAACCCGAUGGCCUGUGCCCUCACUCCCUUCUCGUCUCUGCUCCCAGCCCCUGACAGUUCAGACCCCUUCUGUAAGUUUCUGACGUCUCCAUAUUUACAUAUUUAUCCCGCUUGUCGAUUGCCGGCGGCCUGGUGUCAGCGCAGGGAGGGCUGGGACAACCCACGGAGCCUCCCAGCCCUGAGGCCCAGGGCGGUGCCUGGCACAGGGCAGGUGCUCGGUAAGUACUCAUAGGAAUGCAUCUAGGGCAUCCCAGGCAGAACCAACGUUCUGCAAGCUCCUGACACACUAGGAGGAGAAAGGAUGGAGCGGCUGGUAAUGAGAACUCAACCUCUCUGCGUCUCCGGGGACUGCAGGAAGGACAAAGCUGGCUCCCCACGCAGCUUGCCAGACCCUUCUGGAAAGCAGGAGGCCGCCACCUGGAGGUGAGCUGAUGGGCAGCUCUCACCACCCCCUGCACCACCUGUCUGCUUGGUGCACUCACCCCUGCCCCAAGCAGCCGGCUGCAGGAGAGCUGUGUCAGUCCGCUGCUGCUCGAGUACGACUUACCAAAGCCCAAAAGGAUGGUGGCUCCCAUGCAGAAACAGCACGAGAAGCAAAGCGUCCCCGCGGGGACAGUAACCUGCUGUAUUAAAACGGCCACAGCGACAAGGCUCUACAAAUCCACAUCUGGAACACCGAACCACAGGAUCUGAUCUGCUCGUCCUGCCCAGCCCUGAUGUGGACGGACAGACGGCUCUGAUGGGAGGGGAGAACCCGGAGGAUGUGGCCACACAGACAGAAAGGCCAGUUUUUAUUAUUUUAAGUGAUGCCAGCGGCCAACCCAAACCUGCAUUGUCCAACAUAAACCUGGGGACGUGCAAACAAAACCAGGCCGGCUUCCUUCCAUGAUCGAACCCUCCAGCCUUGCCUUGCCGGGCCAGGGCUCAGGUCCCCCGACAGGUCUCUGCACCUCUCAAGGUCCCACCCCCACCGACUAUGUGGCAUAACCCCCCCUCCCCGUGGCGCUCCCCUGCCCACCCCUUUCUGAUCACUUUUUGGGGCCUCCUCAGCACUCGGACUGUGCUAUUUUUUUUCAUUAUCUGAUAUCUUUUCUUAAAGUGACUUUAAACAGUACCCUUUAGUCUCAGCCCAAGUAACUAUGUGAACUUUGGUGCCUGAUACACUGAUUUUUUUUUUUUUUUUUUGGAUGAACAUCAAAGUAAGUUUGUAAGCAGUUAAAUCGAGGUUUGCUGAGCUAUCGCAUGAGAUACCUGUGCCUUACCUGUCGUAGAAAGUCAUUUCAGGAAACAGUGAACUAACACGUUCUUCUAAAGGUCUGGGUCAGUGCAACCACUACCUCGAGGGAACAAGCAGGUGCUGGGGAAUUUCAAGAUUCGAACCAUGACCCAAUUUUUGCCACCCACAGGGCUUAGGCGUUUCCCAGCCACUUUCUGGCCUGGGGGCCCCUGCCAGCCGGGAGCAGAUGCCCCCCACACCCCUCUGUGACAGACUCCGGAAGCCCCCCCAAGUGGGCGGCAUGGGAGUCACUGAUCAUGAUGGAUAACUAAGGAAAUGAUACCUUCUGACAUUUGUUUUCUUAAAGGUAUAGGUAAAUGAUUAGAGUCUGUGACGUCAUCCCUCCUUGGGAAAGCCUGGCAGGGAAAUGGGAUACAGGGAAGAAAGAAAGCCCUUCAGUAAACCCAGAGUCUUGACUUAAAUCAGCAUUUCCUGUCUCUCACCUGGACUACUGGUGGCCAGAGGGCUUCUUUGAAAGGUGAAGCCAUAGCACGUGUUCCUCUGCUCAGUCUUUUCCACCAAUGGACCAUCUUGCACUGAAUAAAAGCCAAAGCUCCCCCUUUGGCCCAGAAGACCCCAUGUGACUUGGAUACUGAUUCUCCCCAGCUACAACUUGUACCUCUGUCCCCCACUCUCCCUCUCCUCUGGUCGUGCUGACCUCACUGCUACUAGAAUGCACCAAGGCACCAAACAUGCUCCUGCCUCAGGGCCUUUGCACUUGCUGCGCUUGCAGCCUAGAUGCCACCCCCCCCGCCGCCCCCCCGCCCAGCACCGGGUGUCAUCCGGGUGUUUGCUAAUACCGCCUCCUUGGGAGGUUUUCCCUGUGCUGUGCUGAAUCCGUCCUCCUUCCUGCUCCUUGAGAAAAUGUUCUUAGCCGAUUUAUAAACUGUAGAUAGUGGUUGCCUCCGAGAUGAGCACUGUGAAUGGUGGAUGGGGAAGCUUUGCUUUGAAUUACUUGAGUAUUUUAACGGGAGACUGUGUCAGUCAUGUAAUUUGAAAUACCCUGGAGGUGUGGGAGGGAGAAGAGACCUGACUGGAAACAGGCUACUCUAUGAAUACUCCAGGAUAUGCGCUGCAUUCCCACCUGUGCCUUUCAUUUGGAGAAAAAAUAAUCUAGCCUUCAAUGUUCUAGAAGAGGUCUUUUGGCAAGGACCCCUCAUAUCUGUAGAGACCACAGUAACUCUGAAUACUAAACAAGAGGCCACAGUCAGAAGGCCAGAGGCAUGACCUGUCCACAGAAAUGCUUGGUUACACUUUUUUCAGUGUAUCAAGAAUGGUAUAGCUUUUUAAAUGAGCUUUGUGGGCUCUUGGCAUUUUUGUUUUCAUGGGUCUCUUCCCCUGUGAAAAAUUUAAAAAAUUUCUACUCAUCCCAACUCUUUUCAGGUUCAGAGACCCAAUUCCAAUGUGGGGUGUUGUAUGCCUCCCUCCACCCCCAAGGAUCAGUGGUUCCAAUGACCUCCUCCUUAGGUUCUUUAAUUUGCUAGAGUGGCUCACAGUCCCAGGCUGUGUUCUCUCCUCUUCUCUGGGUUGAAAAUGAGGAGCUGAAGGGCCACAUGGCAUGGGGACCGGCAAAGGGUAAGGGGACAUGACCUGUGUCCUCUCCAGGCACCAUCCUUCUCUGAAUGAUUCUUUUGUCACCUGUUUAGCUCUGUAUGUUAAACAGGUUCCACCGCUGAAUGUGUUUAUGGGUGUAACGCACACAUGUGUGCUUCUGUUCUGGAUGGAACACGGGGCCCUCCCUUGUCUGUACACUCUGGCUAUCAAAGAGCCCACAAAACAAAGUGUGAGCUGUCUGAUGAAACCACUGACUUUCUCUGGGCCUUCAUUUCCCGUCUGUAAAAGUAUAGCACAUGAAUAGCUUUAGGUAGAACAUUUCUUUUGACUGUGAAAUUCAAGGACAAUUCUAGACUACUCUCUGUCACCUUAUGCAGUAUGCUGGGAAGGGCUCUAGAGGUACCUGGCCUGAGUUCGAAUCCAGACUUUGCCACAUCCUAUGAACCCGAUACCUUGUGCAAAUGACUCAACUCUCAUAUACUUCAGUGUCCUUGUCUGCCUCUUCCCCAUGGGAUGUUCCAAAAUUUAACCAAGGAAAAUACCUUUACUGCAGUACGACGCAUACCAAAAGCAUUUAAUACAUGCUAGCUGUUACAAAUUUUAGUUAUCAUAGCUCCCAAGUCCUGGGUAACACAGUUCACAGAGUGCCUCUGGACAGAAUCUGGCCUGUGUGUUUGAAAAAUUA